CAAGGUGUAAACACCGGUUCUCGUUCGAUCACUGAAGUUAAGCAUCGUAGAGCCAGGUCAGUACUUAGAUGGGGGACCGCUUGGGAC